rnacentral:rRNA from 1 species
ACGGGAGGCAGCAGUGAGGAAUAUUGGUCAAUGGACGAGAGUCUGAACCAGCCAAGUCGCGUGCAGGAUGACGGCCCUAUGGGUUGUAAACUGCUUUUGUACGGGAAUAAAGUGACCUACGUGUAGGUUUUUGCAUGUACCGUAAGAAUAAGGACCGGCUAAUCCCGUGCCAGCAGCCGCGGUAAUACGGAAGGUCCGGGCGUUAUCCGGAUUUAUUGGGUUUAAAGGGAGCGUAGGCCGUGCUUUAAGCGUGUUGUGAAAUGUAGGCGCCCAACGUCCGCACUGCAGCGCAAACUGGAGCACUUGAGUACGCAGGAGGUAGGCGGAAUUCGUCGUGUAGCGGUGAAAUGCUUAGAUAUGACGAAGAACUCCGAUUGGGAAGGCAGCUUACUGUAGCGCAACUGACGCUGAGGCACGAAGGUGCGGGGAUCAAACAGGAUUAGAUACCCUGGUA